AGAAAUUGCGAGAUGCGCUAUCUUUAAAGUAGUUAAUAAUCUUUGAUGUCAAAGUUGAAAAGUAGUCACUUUUGUGAGUGGGCGCCCUACUGAACACUGCAUUAUUACAGAACUUGCACACAGAAAUCGUGGAGAACGCUCUCUUUUAAUUAUAAGCUCUUUGAAGGAAACCAAGCUAAAGACACACUAAUGACUUGGACAAUAUAUAAGCUUAUAAUUUUUUUUUUAUAAUUUUGAUUGUCCGUAAGGACCAGCAGUGUUCAUUUCGCAAGGUAUUAUCCAGCACGGAUAAUACAAGAAGUGCUACUAAGGACUGCUUGUACAAGAAGGGCUACGAAGCUCUCUACACGCCAUUCUUCAUGAAUAAACAAGUAAUGCAAGAGGUAGCCCAGCUUAGCCAGUUUGAUGAAAGACUUUAUAAGGUUAUUGGCAAAGGCAGCGAGAAAGCCGAAGACACAACGUAUGAGGAAAAGUACCCGAUAGCAACCUCUGAACAACCAAUCGCAAUUUUGCUCAAUUCAGAUUUUUCAAUAUUGCUUAGCUUAAAAAUUGCUUAAAAUUAAAGAGUUAAUUUUACGCAUCAUGUGCCAUCUAAGAAGAUUUUAAAGCUAAGAUUUUUUUAAAGAUGGUUUAAUAAAUCAGCUUAAGAUCUUUGCUUAGGAACAUACUUUUUUCACUUAAGACAUUUGCUAAGCUGAGAUUGAUAAAUAUUGUGCCAAACCCCUAAGUAAACUGAAUCACUACAAAGUAUUGCUAGAGUACCAAUCUUAUCCAGUCACAACAAUAUGUCAUCCUCCCAAAACAUUAAAUUUUUGUUUAUGAAAUAACUUACUUGUUAGAACUAUAGACAAAAAGCUAAUGAACAUCGUAUAAACGUUUUUCACACUUCUGUCGUAUUGAUUAGGGAACAUUAAAAAUUCACAUUUAUCUAUCAAAAACUCUUAUCAAAAUUUGUAUUUCUAUGUAGUGAUUGAAUUAAAUUGUGGCAAAUUUUAGUAUACGCCUGAUAAUAUGCAAAUAA